rnacentral:rRNA from 1 species
GACGAACGCUGGCGGCGUGCUUAACACAUGCAAGUCGAACGGAAAGGCCCUGCUUUUGUGGGGUGCUCGAGUGGCGAACGGGUGAGUAACACGUGAGUAACCUGCCCUUGACUUUGGGAUAACUUCAGGAAACUGGGGCUAAUACCGGAUAGGAGCUCCUGCUGCAUGGUGGGGGUUGGAAAGUUUCGGCGGUUGGGGAUGGACUCGCGGCUUAUCAGCUUGUUGGUGGGGUAGUGGCUUACCAAGGCUUUGACGGGUAGCCGGCCUGAGAGGGUGACCGGCCAACAUGGGGAUGGGGACGCGGCCAGCCUCCCGAGGGGGGGAAGGGGGGGAGAAUAGGGAAAGGGGGGGCGAGCGUCUGCAACAAGCCGCCGGUGGGGAAGAGGGGCUUUGGGGGAAUAGACAGUGGUGUCCGUGGAGAAGGGGGGAGUGAGGGUAGUGAGAAAAGAAGCGCCGGCUAACUACGUG